rnacentral:sRNA from 2 species
UUGGCCCCGCUGCCUAAUCCCGCUAGAGCGGGAACGGGGGACCCACUUCACCGGGGCGCAUCGCCAAUCCUGGCGUAGGGCACUCUUCGGCCCGAGCCCGUCAGCUAACCCCGUCGGCAUCGAGGAGGAACGAU